GAUGAACGCUGGCGGCGUGCUUAACACAUGCAAGUCGAACGAGAAAUGUAGACGGAAACCUUCGGGCGGAAGCCUUCAUUUCGAGUGGCGGACGGGUGAGUAACGCGUGGGUAACCUGCCUCAUACAGGGGGAUAACAGUUGGAAACGACUGUUAAUACCGCAUAAGACCACAGCAUCGCAUGAUGCGGGGGUAAAAACUCCGGUGGUAUGAGAUGGACCCGCGUUCGAUUAGCCAGUUGGCGGGGUAACGGCCCACCAAAGCGACGAUCGAUAGCCGAUCUGAGAGGAUGACCGGCCACAUUGGGACUGAGACACGGCCCAAACUCCUACGGGUGGCAGCAGUGGGGAAUAUUGCACAAUGGGGGAAACCCUGAUGCAGCGACGCCGCGUGAGUGAAGAAGUACUUCGGUAUGUAAAGCUCUAUCAGCAGGGAAGAAAAUGACGGUACCUGAGUAAGAAGCCCCGGCUAACUACGUG
rnacentral:rRNA from 1 species